AGUGAACGCUGGCGGUAGGCCUAACACAUGCAAGUCGAACGGCAGCACAGUAAGAGCUUGCUCUUACGGGUGGCGAGUGGCGGACGGGUGAGGAAUACAUCGGAAUCUACUUUUUCGUGGGGGAUAACGUAGGGAAACUUACGCUAAUACCGCAUACGACCUACGGGUGAAAGCAGGGGAUCUUCGGACCUUGCGCGAUUGAAUGAGCCGAUGUCGGAUUAGCUAGUUGGCGGGGUAAAGGCCCACCAAGGCGACGAUCCGUAGCUGGUCUGAGGGGAUGAUCAGCCACACUGGAACUGAGACACGGUCCAGACUCCUACGGGAGGCAGCAGUGGGGAAUAUUGGACAAUGGGCGCAAGCCUGAUCCAGCCAUACCGCGUGGGUGAAGAAGGCCUUCGGGUUGUAAAGCCCUUUUGUUGGGAAAGAAAAGCAGCAGGCUAAUACCCCGCUGUUCUGACGGUACCCAAAGAAUAAGCACCGGCUAACUUCGUG
rnacentral:rRNA from 1 species